UCGGGGGUGGGAGUGGGGCGGCGCGCUCACUUCCCCUUCCCCUGCGCCCCAGGACCUUCGCUCUGUUGGGGGCCUUGGGACAGUCAGGUCCCCCGGCUUAUCUCAGUUAAGGAGGACAGCUCCGAAGAGGCCCCGCGGGUCCUCACGUGGGGCUGAGGCCUCCCGAGCCGCGUUGGGUGCGGCCAUUCCCCGCCUGGGUCCGAGCUGUCAGCCUCCUCAAGACCCGCACUGGAGGAGCCGGACUCGCCUAGCGUGGGCUCCAGCCGUUGCGGUGUCCAGCUGCCAGCUUUCUGCCUGGAUCUCUGUCUCCUCAUUUCUCCAGUCUCCUCAGACAGAAGCCCUCGGGGUAUGUAACAGCCAUGCCUGUGGACACGCUGACUCCGGGAACCCGAGACACCCCCGCCCUACCUUUCCGCCUACAGACCAAGGUCCCCGGCUACCUGCUACAGCGGCCAGCAGACUGUGGAGCCCGGAAACCUAGUGCUGUAGAGCGCCUGGAGGCCGACAAGGCCAAGUACGUCAAGAGCCUGCAUGUGGCCAGUACCCGCCAGGAACCUGUGCAGCCCCUGCUGUGCAAACGGCCACUCUUCAGUGCUGGAACUCGCCGCACGGUGCUCACGCCUAGCCGCCGAGUCCUGCCUGGCCCCGGCCGCCGGCCCCAGCUGGACCUGGACAUCCUGAGCAGCCUCAUCAACUUGUGUGAUAGUCCUGUGUCCCCUGCUGAGGCCAGCCGUACCCCCGGACGGUCAGAGGGGGCCCGCCAGGCUCCCCCAGCCACCCCCCCACGCCCACCACCCAGUAUUGCUGCAGUCCGCCGAGUGGAUGUCCUUCCCCUGCCAGCGUCACCUGCCCAGCCCUGCCCAUCACCAGGCACUGCCGCCACCUCUAGCCCGGCCCGGCCCCCAGGUUUGCAACGCUCCAAGUCAGACCUGAGUGAGCGCUUCUCCCGGGCAGCAGCUGACCUGGAGCGAUUUUUUAACUUCUGCGGCCUGGACCAGGAGGAGGCACGGGGAUUGGGUGUGGCCCACCUAGCCCGGGCCAACUCAGACAUCGUGUCCCUGGCUGGGCCCAGUGCUGGGCCGGCUAGCUCCGAGGGGGGCUGCUCCCGCCGCAGCUCUGCCACCAUCGAGGAGCUGGCUCGGGAGCGCGUCCCCUAUGGUGUGUCAGUGAUAGAGCGCAACGCCCGGGUGAUCAAAUGGCUGUAUGGGUUGCGACAAGCGCGGGAGACUCCAGCAGCUGAGGGCUAGGCCUCCAUGGGACUCGACAUUCGCCAUGGGACAGAUCUUAGAGAAGCCAUAGGCCCCUUGACCUCUCCUGCAUCCAUUCCCUGGCUUGGGGCAGACCAGAGGCUGCUGCCUCGUGUGAACUUGCUAUAGAGGCAAAGGCUCAGAGGCUGGACCAGCAUCCAUCUGACAAGGACUGACCCGGAGAGAGUUGGCUCUUGACUUUGGACUACCGCCUACGCCUCACAUGUAGGGUUUUGACAUGGAUGUACCGCUGCUUGCAAAUAUUUACUUUCAGAUCUGAUGUCCCCACAGCGUGGCUUCUGCAGCCUGACUGCCUGGGUUUGAACUCCAGCCCUUCUCCUUACUGGCCAGAUGACCUUGGGCAAGUGACUUAACCACCUUAUGCCUCAGUUUCCUCAUCUGUAAAAUGAGAAUAAUAAGAAUAUUGAAGUUAUUGGACUGUUACGAGGAUUCAGCAUGUGAAGUGCCGAGAAUAAGGCAUAUCGCCCAGCAUUAAGGCUGGAGCCCCAGCAGCCAUCUUGGAUCAAAAAGGACCUGGAGGAUGAAACCAUAUAUGGAAGGAUGAAACAACAUGAAGCCGGAAGGAACCUGAGACAUUGGUGACACCAUGGAGGCUGCAUCAGCCCUGGCCCAGAAUGAUC